rnacentral:rRNA from 1 species
CCUACGGGUGGCUGCAGUGGGGAAUAUUGCACAAUGGGCGGAAGCCUGAUGCAGCGACGCCGCGUGGGGGAUGACGGCCUUCGGGUUGUAAACUCCUUUCACCAUCGACGAAGGUUUUCUGACGGUAGAUGGAGAAGAAGCACCGGCUAACUACGUGCCAGCAGCCGCGGUAAUACGUAGGGUGCGAGCGUUGUCCGGAAUUACUGGGCGUAAAGAGCUCGUAGGUGGUUUGUCGCGUCGUCUGUGAAAUUCCGGGGCUUAACUCCGGGCGUGCA